rnacentral:rRNA from 1 species
UACGUAGGGUGCAAGCGUUGUCCGGAAUUAUUGGGCGUAAAGAGCUCGUAGGCGGUUUGUUGCGUCGGCUGUGAAAUCCCGAGGCUCAACCUCGGGUCUGCAGUCGAUACGAGCAAACUAGAGUGUUGUAGGGGAGACUGGAAUUCCUGGUGUAGCGGUGAAAUGCGCAGAUAUCAGGAGGAACACCAGUGGCGAAGGCGGCUCACUGGACCGGAACUGACGCUGAGGCGCGAAAGCGUGGGGAGCAAACAGG